GUGAUUAAAUCGAGCGUGUCUUCAUUGACCAGCUCACCCUUCUCACCAUCCACAUACACCUGUGCACUGUUUAGCCUGAGCCGGUUUUCCGGUCCAGGUUAUCAUUUCAUACAAACUCUAGUCUUAUGAAUGUAAACGUUUUAAUAACAUAAUA
rnacentral:misc_RNA from 1 species